rnacentral:rRNA from 1 species
AUUGAACGCUGGCGGAAUGCUUUACACAUGCAAGUCGAGCGGCAGCACGGGGGCAACCCUGGUGGCGAGCGGCGAACGGGUGAGUAAUACAUCGGAACAUGCCCAGUCGUGGGGGAUAACACUUCGAAAGAAGUGCUAAUACCGCAUACGUCCUGAGGGAGAAAGCGGGGGAUCGCAAGACCUCGCGCGAUUGGAGUGGCCGAUGUCAGAUUAGCUAGUUGGUGGGGUAAAGGCCUACCAAGGCAACGAUCUGUAGCUGGUCUGAGAGGAUGAUCAGCCACACUGGGACUGAGACACGGCCCAGACUCCUACGGGAGGCAGCAGUGGGGAAUUUUGGACAAUGGGGGCAACCCCUGAUCCAGCCAUUCCGCGUGAGUGAAGAAGGCCUUCGGGUUGUAAAGCUCUUUCGGCAGGAACGAAACGGCGAGCUCUAACAUAGCUUGCUAAUGACGGUACCUGAGGAAGAAGCACCGGCUAACUACGUG